GAGUUUGAUCCUGGCUCAGAACGAACGCUGGCGGCGUACUUAACACAUGCAAGUCGGACGAGAAAGGAGACUUCGGUCUCUGAGUAAAGUGGCGCACGGGUGCGUAACACGUAAGUAAUCUACCCCGAACUCUGGGAUAACGCUCCGAAAGGAGGGCUAAUACCGGAUAGGGUCCCCGAGGUACAGGCUGCGGGGGGAAAACGGGCCUCUGUUUCAUGCUCGUGGUUCGGGAUGAGCUUGCGGCCCAUUAGCUUGUUGGCAGGGUAAUGGCCUACCAAGGCUACGAUGGGUAGCUGGUCUGAGAGGAUGAUCAGCCACACUGGCACUGAGACACGGGCCAGACUCCUACGGGAGGCAGCAGUGGGGAAUUUUGCGCAAUGGGCGAAAGCCUGACGCAGUAACGCCGCGUGGAGGAUGAAGGCCUUCGGGUUGUAAACUCCUGUCAGGGGGAACGACGGAGCGAGGGUGAUAAAUCCUUGCUUCCAGACGGUACCUCCAAAGGAAGCCCCGGCUAAUUCCGUGCCAGCAGCCGCGGUAAUACGGAAGGGGCAAGCGUUGUUCGGAAUCAUUGGGCGUAAAGGGCGCGCAGGUGGUUCUGUAUGUCUACCGUGAAAGCGUACGGCUCAACCGUAUUUUGUCGGUAGAAACUGCAGGACUUGAGGCUGGGAGGGGCUGGUAGAAUUCCCUGUGUAGCGGUGAAAUGCGUAGAGAUGGGGGAGAACACUCGUGGCGAAGGCGGCCAGCUAGACCAGUUCUGACACUGAGGCGCGACAGCGUGGGGAGCAAACAGGAUUAGAUAC
rnacentral:rRNA from 1 species